rnacentral:rRNA from 1 species
AUUGAACGCUGGCGGCAUGCUUUACACAUGCAAGUCGAACGGUAACAGGCCUUCGGGUGCUGACGAGUGGCGAACGGGUGAGUAAUGCAUCGGAACGUACCCAGAGGUGGGGGAUAACGCAGCGAAAGCUGUGCUAAUACCGCAUGUGAUCUGAGGAUGAAAGCGGGGGACCGAGCAGCAAUGUUUGGCCUCGCGCCUUUGGAGCGGCCGAUGUCGGAUUAGCUAGUUGGUGGGGUAAAGGCCUACCAAGGCGACGAUCCGUAGCUGGUCUGAGAGGACGAGCGGCCACACGGGGACUAGGAACGGGCCAAGACUCCUACGGGAGGCAGCAGUGGGAAGUUUUGGAAAAUGGGCGAAGGCUUGAUCAAGCAAUGCGGGGGGGGGGAGAAGGGCUUUGGGGUGGAAAACCGCUUUGGUCGGGAACAAAAGGAUAACCGUUAAUCCCGGGCGCUAAGGAGGUACCCUGCAGAAUAGGCACGGCCAAAUUCGUG